CCUACGGGCGGCUGCAGUGAGGAAUAUUGGUCAAUGGGGGCAACUCUGAACCAGCCAAGUCGCGUGAAGGAUGACAGCCCUACGGGUUGUAAACUUCUUUUAUAAGGGAAUAAAGUGAGCCACGUGUGGCUUUUUGCAAGUACCUUACGAAUAAGGAUCGGCUAACUCCGUGCCAGCAGCCGCGGUAAUACGGAGGAUCCGAGCGUUAUCCGGAUUUAUUGGGUUUAAAGGGUGCGCAGGCGGAGGAUUAAGUCAGCGGUGAAAGUUUGCAGCUUAACUGUAAAAUUGCCGUUGAAACUGGUUUUCUUGAGUGUAUAUGAAGUAGGCGGAAUUUGUAGUGUAGCGGUGAAAUGCAUAGAUAUUACAAGGAACUCCGAUUGCGAAGGCAGCUUACUAAAAUACAACUGACGCUCAGGCACGAAGGCGUGGGUAUCAAACAGGAUUAGAUACCCCAGUAGUC
rnacentral:rRNA from 1 species